rnacentral:lncRNA from 1 species
AUGGACCACAGACUCUUCAUUCAGAACUCUGCUCCAGUGUGUAACUCCCAUCCCAGCAGUGAUUGUAGAUUCUUAGCUGCUUUUAUCCAUCCCAGAAGUCAAGUCAUGGAUAGUGAGUUUCAUGAAUGCUCAGGCAACGAUGGCUUCAAGAGCUUGCUUGGUGUGCUGUGAUCCUCCUAUGCCAUGACUACAUUGCCAUCUUCGCA